rnacentral:rRNA from 1 species
GUAAUGGCUCACCAAGGCGUCGACGGGUAGCCGGCCUGAGAGGGUGACCGGCCACACUGGGACUGAGACACGGCCCAGACUCCUACGGGAGGCAGCAGUGGGGAAUAUUGCACAAUGGGCGGAAGCCUGAUGCAGCAACGCCGCGUGAGGGAUGACGGCCUUCGGGUUGUAAACCUCUUUUAGCAGGGAAGAAGCGAAAGUGACGGUACCUGCAGAAAAAGCACCGGCUAACUACGUGCCAGCAGCCGCGGUAAUACGUAGGGUGCAAGCGUUAUCCGGAAUUAUUGGGCGUAAAGAGCUCGUAGGCGGUUUGUCGCGUCUGCUGUGAAAUCCCGAGGCUCAACCUCGGGCCUGCAGUGGGUACGGGCAGACUAGAGUGCGGUAGGGGAGAUUGGAAUUCCUGGUGUAGCGGUGGAAUGCGCAGAUAUCAGGAGGAACACCGAUGGCGAAGGCAGAUCUCUGGGCCGUAACUGACGCUGAGGAGCGAAAGGGUGGGGAGCAAACAGGCUUAGAUACCCUGGUAGUCCACCCCGUAAACGUUGGGAACUAGUUGUGGGGUCCUUUCCACGGAUUCCGUGACGCAGCUAACGCAUUAAGUUCCCCGCCUGGGGAGUACGGCCGCAAGGCUAAAACUCAAAGGAAUUGACGGGGACCCGCACAAGCGGCGGAGCAUGCGGAUUAAUUCGAUGCAACGCGAAGAACCUUACCAAGGCUUGACAUACACGAGAACGGGCCAGAAAUGGUCAACUCUUUGGACACUCGUGAACAGGUGGUGCAUGGUUGUCGUCAGCUCGUGUCGUGAGAUGUUGGGUUAAGUCCCGCAACGAGCGCAACCCUCGUUCUAUGUUGCCAGCACGUAAUGGUGGGAACUCAUGGGAUACUGCCGGGGUCAACUCGGAGGAAGGUGGGGAUGACGUCAAAUCAUCAUGCCCCUUAUGUCUUGGGCUUCACGCAUGCUACAAUGGCCGGUACAAAGGGCUGCAAUACCGUGAGGUGGAGCGAAUCCCAAAAAGCCGGUCCCAGUUCGGAUUGAGGUCUGCAACUCGACCUCAUAGUCGGAGUCGCUAGUAAUCGCAGU